rnacentral:rRNA from 1 species
UACGUAGGUGGCAAGCGUUGUCCGGAAUUAUUGGGCGUAAAGCGCGCGCAGGCGGUCCUUUAAGUCUGAUGUGAAAGCCCACGGCUCAACCGUGGAGGGUCAUUGGAAACUGGGGGACUUGAGUGCAGGAGAGAAGAGUGGAAUUCCACGUGUAGCGGUGAAAUGCGUAGAGAUGUGGAGGAACACCAGUGGCGAAGGCGCCUAACUGGCCGAUUACUGACGCUGAGCUGCGAAAGCAAGGGGAGCAAACAGG